rnacentral:pre_miRNA from 1 species
CAAAUACUCCGUCCGUCCGGAAAUACUUGUCAUCAAAAUGGAUAAAAGGAAAUGUAUCUAGACGUAUUUUAGUUUUAGAUACAUCUCUUUUUAUCCAUUUUGAUGACAAGUAUUUUAGGACGGAGGGAGUAGAAA